rnacentral:rRNA from 1 species
AGCCUGAUAUUGAAAUUCGGCACAGCUUGUACAGGAUAGGUAGGAGCCUUUGAAACGUGAGCGCUAGCUUACGUGGAGGCGUUGGUGGGAUACUACCCUAGCUGUGUUGGCUUUCUAACCCGCACCACUUAUCGUGGUGGGAGACAGUGUCAGGCGGGCAGUUUGACUGGGGCGGUCGCCUCCUAAAAGGUAACGGAGGCGCUCAAAGGUUCCCUCAGAAUGGUUGGAAAUCAUUCAUAGAGUGUAAAGGCAUAAGGGAGCUUGACUGCGAGACCUACAAGUCGAGCAGGGUCGAAAGACGG